UCCGGGGUAGCUCAGCUGGCAGAGCAGCUGACUGUUAAUCAGCUUGUCGUGGGUUCGAGCCCCACCCCCGGAGCCA
rnacentral:tRNA from 2 species